GACAGAGGUGCCGAGCGUUAGGCGGAAUCACUGGGCUUAAAGCGUGUGUAGGCGGAUCGUUAAGUGUCUUGUGAAAUCCCACGGCUCACCCGUGGAACGGCUGGGCAUACUGGCGAUCUUGGAGCCAUCUAGGGGCGACUGGAACAACGGUGGAGCGGUGAAAUGCGUAGAUAUCGUUGAUGACGCCAUGGUGAAAACAGGUCGCUGGGGAUGAGCUGCGCUGAGACACGAAAGCCAGGGGAGCAAACGGG
rnacentral:rRNA from 1 species